rnacentral:RNase_P_RNA from 3 species
GGAGUUGGUUGGGCAGUCGCUGUAUCUUUAGAAAGAUAGGGAGGAAAGUCCGGGCUUCACAGGACAAGGUGCCAGGUAACGCCUGGGGGGCGCGAGCCUACGGAAAGUGCCACAGAAAAUACACCGCCUUUUUAGGUAAGGGUGAAAAGGUGCGGUAAGAGCGCACCGCGUUGGUGGUAACAUCAAUGGCAGGGUAAACCCCACCUGAAGCAAGACCAAAUAGGGAAUAUUGAUGUGGUCCGCAUCGUUCCCGGGUAGGUCGCAAGAGGUGCUUGGUGACAGGCAUCCCAGAUGAAUGGCUGCCACACGGUUGUUUUCCUUCGGGGAGAUUUAAUUCGUGUACAGAACCCGGCUUAUAGACUAACUCCUUUU